rnacentral:lncRNA from 1 species
AGGUUCCUUUAUUCAAAUGCACUGAAUGUUUCGUAGAUCUAAUCCAAAUUUUUUUAUUCUUUCCUACAACUUGUAUAUAUGUGCGAGUUUCCAAGAGGAUCUUUUUUUUUUUACUUACUCUACUCAUAUUAGUAGUUUCGAGUUGGCCAGCAAGGAGAUGUAAGUGGGCUCCGCUCUUCAAUGCAAACAACUAGUGGAUGAGACGUGACAGAUCAAGGUCGCUGGCUGCAUGUAUAGAUAGAUCCUAUGUGCAAGAGCCCAGCUGACCAACCUAAAUUAAAGUGCCAUUUAGAUGGCGUUGG